rnacentral:rRNA from 1 species
AUUGAACGCUGGCGGCAUGCCUAACACAUGCAAGUCGAGCGAGCGGAGGACGGGUGAGUAAUGUAUGGGGAUCUGCCCGAUAGAGGGGGAUAACUACUGGAACCGGUGGCUAAUACCGCAUAAUAUCGGAUGAACCCAUAUGGGAUUAGCGAGGAGGUGGGGUAAAGGCUCACGUAGGCGACGAGCUCUAGCUGGUCUGAGAGGAUGAUCGGCCACACUGGGACUGAGACACGGCCCAGACUCCUACGGGAGGCAGCAGUGGGGAAUAUUGCACAAUGGGCGCAAGCCUGAUGGAGCCAUGCCGCGUGUAUGAAGAAGGCCUUAGGGUUGUAAAGCACUUUCAGCGGGGAGGCGUUACCCGCAGAAGAAGCCCCGGCUAACUCCGUGCCAGCAGCCGCGGUAAUUC